rnacentral:rRNA from 1 species
CCUAAGUCGAGGCCGAAAGGCGUAGACGAUGGAUAACAGGUUGAUAUUCCUGUACCACCUCCCCGCCAUUUGAGCAAUGGGGGGACGCAGUAGGAUAGGGUGAGCGCGCUGUUGGUUAUGCGCGUCCAAAUAGUAAGGUGUGAAAUGAGGCAAAUCCCAUUUCUAUAACAUUGAGCUAUGAUGGCGGGGGGAAUUAUCCCCAGAGUCCCUGAUUUCACGCUGCCAAGAAAAGCCUCUAGCGAGGCGGGAGGUGCCCGUACCGCAAACCAACACAGGUAGGCGAGGAGAGAAUCCUAAGGUGAUCGAGAGAACUCUCGUUAAGGAACUCGGCAAAAUGACCCCGUAACUUCGGGAGAAGGGGUGCUCUGGUAGGGUGUUAAAGCCCGAGAGAGCCGCAGUGAAUAGGCCCAGGCGACUGUUUAGCAAAAACAUAGGUCUCUGCAAAACCGCAAGGUGAAGUAUAGGGGCUGACGCCUGCCCGGUGCUGGAAGGUUAAGGGGAGAGGUUAGCGCAAGCGAAGCUUCGAACCGAAGCCCCAGUAAACGGCGGCCGUAACAAUAACGGUCCUAAGGUAGCGAAAUUCCUUGUCGGGUAAGUUCCGACCCGCACGAAAGGCGUAACGAUCUGGGCACUGUCUCAACGAGAGACUCGGUGAAAUUAUAGUACCUGUGAAGAUGCAGGUUACCCGCGACAGGACGGAAAGACCCCGUGGAGCUUUACUGCAACCUGAUAUUGAAUUCUGAUGCAAUCUGUACAGGAUAGGUAGGAGCCUUAGAAUCCGGAGCGCCAGCUUCGGAGGAGGCGUUGGUGGGAUACUACCCUGAUUGUAUUGGACUUCUAACCCAUGCCCCUUAUCGGGGCAGGAGACAGUGUCAGGCGGGCAGUUUGACUGGGGCGGUCGCCUCCUAAAGAGUAACGGAGGCGCCCAAAGGUUCCCUCAGAAUGGUUGGACAUCAUUCGUAGAGUGCAAAGGCAUAAGGGAGCUUAACUGCGAGACCUACAAGUCGAGCAGGGUCGAAAGACGGGCUUAGUGAUCCGGUGGUUCCGCAUGGAAGGGCCAUCGCUCAACGGAUAAAAGCUACCCCGGGGAUAACAGGCUUAUCUUCCCCAAGAGUCCACAUCGACGGGAAGGUUUGGCACCUCGAUGUCGGCUCAUCGCAUCCUGGGGCUGUAGUCGGUCCCAAGGGUUGGGCUGUUCGCCCAUUAAAGCGGUACGCGAGCUGGGUUCAGAACGUCGUGAGACAGUUCGGUCCCUAUCCGUCGCGGGCGCAGGAAAUUUGAGAAGAGCUGUCCUUAGUACGAGAGGACCGGGAUGGACACACCGCUGGUGUACCAGUUGUCUUGCCAAAGGCAUCGCUGGGUAGCUACGUGUGGCCGGGAUAAAUGCUGAAAGCAUCUAAGCAUGAAGCCCCCUUCAAGAUGAGAUUUCCCAUUACGCAAGUAAGUAAGAUCCCUCAGAGAAGAUGAGGUUGAUAGGUCCGGGGUGUAAGCACGGCGACGUGCGUAGCUGACGGAUACUAAUUGAUCGAGGACUUAACC